CCUUCCCAAAGUUCUCAACUACAUGCUCUUUGCUUUCCAUACGCAAAUUAACCGUGUCUCUUGUACUCCAUCGUCAUCCUCAUCAGAAUCCACUGUGUAAAUGAGCGUUUUUUUCUCCGUUUUUACCACCUCUGCAUAACUUCUACGUAAAUAUAAAACGAUAAAUUAUCUGAGAUAUAUAAGUAAAGUAAACCUAUAAAUAAAAAAG